GAUGAACGCUAGCGGCAGGCUUAACACAUGCAAGUCGAGGGGUAUAGGAAGCUUGCUUCCUAGAGACCGGCGCACGGGUGCGUAACGCGUAUGCAACCUACCUUUUACAGAGGGAUAGCCCAGAGAAAUUUGGAUUAAUACCUCAUAGUAUAUGUUUUUCGCAUGUUAGACAUAUUAAAGUAACAACGGUAAAAGAUGGGCAUGCGUCUUAUUAGCUAGAUGGUAAGGUAACGGCUUACCAUGGCAACGAUAGGUAAGGGUCCUGAGAGGGAGAUCCCCAACACUGGUACUGAGACACGGACCAGACUCCUACGGGAGGCAGCAGUGAGGAAUAUUGGACAAUGGGCGCAAGCCUGAUCCAGCCAUGCCGCGUGCAGGAAGAAGCAUCUAUGGUGUGUAAACUGCUUUUGUACGGGAAGAAACACUCCCUCGUGAGGGAGCUUGACGGUACCGUAAGAAUAAGGAUCGGCUAACUCCGUGCCAGCAGCCGCCGUAAGAC
rnacentral:rRNA from 1 species